rnacentral:lncRNA from 1 species
GCCGCCUGGGCGAUGAGCUGGAGCAGCGGCGCAAGGCGCGGGGCCGCGGGCCCGGGGCCGGCCGGCGCCUGGCCGCAGUGGUGUGCCUGCUGUGCGCCAUCACGCCCGCGGCCGCGCUGGCCUGGCUGAUCCGCAGGAGGAGCCUCUAAGCGAGAGGGGCGCUGGCCGGAGCGGGGAGCAGGCGGGACGCGCAACAGGCUGGAGAGAACCCUGUGCCCUUGGAGAAAAUUGUUUCCCCUUUUCCUACAGGGAAUCCAGAGCCUGAGCAGCAGCUGUGAAGACUGGAGAGAAAGAAAGAAGUGGAAGAUGUUGGAAGUGCUUUGGGCAACGUGAAGAAGGAUUUGCACAGAAGGAGCUGUUCAAGGGCCCAGCAGCAAACCAGAGACACAUACAUGCUUAUAUAUAGAAGAAUGUAAACCCUCCUGUAUGCAUACGUUAAGACGUGCAUGCCUUGUUGAGAACGUAAGCAACAUUCCUUGUAGAUGAUGGUGGUCUGAGCAUUCGUGCUCCUGCAGUCGGAGUCAAAAGAUUAGUGAUGUCCUUGCUGUAACACUAGCAGUUUCUCCACUGCGCCUUGUUUAUGGCAACGUAACCGUUCCUUUCAAUGCAGUGGGGUGGAAAAUACAUCCAGAGUUAAGUACUACCUUGAGAGACCAAGCUUGCUGCGGGACGGGCACGGCCUGGCCGUGGGGCGGGCACGGGUGCUUGGCAGCUUGGACGACAGACAGUCUGUGUGUGUAUAUAUUCAGUGCUAUAGCACCAGGUGAGAUAAGCUGUUCUUCUGACUUUAGUUUCUCUGGUGCUACAUUUCAUAUUUGUCUGGGGCUAAACUGCCUCUCUGUGGUGCUACAGUUUCCCUGAGAGGAUGUUCUGAAACAUGGGACAAGGAAAAAUCUAUUUUGGUUAUUGAUAUUUAUACACAAGAUAGCAAAAAAAAAA